rnacentral:tRNA from 1 species
GUUUCCGUAGUGUGUUGUUUAUCACGUUUGCCUAACACGCAAAAGGUCCCCAGUUCGAAACUGGGCGGAAACA